rnacentral:misc_RNA from 1 species
GUGAAGAGGAGAAGGGGGUAACGCAAAUUGCACUCUCUGGUAUUCCGGAGAGUAUUCCUGUUUGAGGGUCAGUUUAAAUAAAAAUCGGUGUGGUUGCUGCCUUUCGUGGUGACGCACCGGAUUUGGGUCGUCUUUCCUUCGGUUAAGUGACCUAAAAUUUUGCAUGAUUUUUUUCGAACGUAUUUAAAUGAUUUUACGUACGUUUGCGAUAUCGAAUACUAUGUGUGGUCAUCCUCAUGAUUAGCGCCUAUAAUUUUUCAUCCAAAUGAC